rnacentral:piRNA from 1 species
UGAUACCCUAUAUUAGACUCUUCUUUGCCAG